GGUUAACCGAAUAGGGGAGCCGAAGGGAAACCGAGUCUUAACUGGGCGUUAAGUUGCAGGGUAUAGACCCGAAACCCGGUGAUCUAGCCAUGGGCAGGUUGAAGGUUGGGUAACACUAACUGGAGGACCGAACCGACUAAUGUUGAAAAAUUAGCGGAUGACUUGUGGCUGGGGGUGAAAGGCCAAUCAAACCGGGAGAUAGCUGGUUCUCCCCGAAAGCUAUUUAGGUAGCGCCUCGUGAAUUCAUCUCCGGGGGUAGAGCACUGUUUCGGCUAGGGGGCCAUCCCGGCUUACCAACCCGAUGCAAACUGCGAAUACCGGAGAAUGUUAUCACGGGAGACACACGGCGGGUGCUAACGUCCGUCGUGAAGAGGGAAACAACCCAGACCGCCAGCUAAGGUCCCAAAGUCAUGGUUAAGUGGGAAACGAUGUGGGAAGGCUCAGACAGCCAGGAUGUUGGCUUAGAAGCAGCCAUCAUUUAAAGAAAGCGUAAUAGCUCACUGGUCGAGUCGGCCUGCGCGGAAGAUGUAACGGGGCUAAACCAUGCACCGAAGCUGCGGCAGCGACACUAAGUGUUGUUGGGUAGGGGAGCGUUCUGUAAGCCUGUGAAGGUGUGCUGUGAGGCAUGCUGGAGGUAUCAGAAGUGCGAAUGCUGACAUAAGUAACGAUAAAGCGGGUGAAAAGCCCGCUCGCCGGAAGACCAAGGGUUCCUGUCCAACGUUAAUCGGGGCAGGGUGAGUCGACCCCUAAGGCGAGGCCGAAAGGCGUAGUCGAUGGGAAACAGGUUAAUAUUCCUGUACCAGGUGUUACUGCGAAGGGGGGACGGAGAAGGCUAUGUUGGCCGGGCGACGGUUGUCCCGGUUUAAGCGUGUAGGUGUGUGUUCCAGGUAAAUCCGGUUCACUUUAACACUGAGGCGUGAUGACGAGGCACUACGGUGCUGAAGCAACAAAUGCCCUGCUUCCAGGAAAAGCCUCUAAGCAUCAGGUAACAUCAGAUCGUACCCCAAACCGACACAGGUGGUCAGGUAGAGAAUACCAAGGCGCUUGAGAGAACUCGGGUGAAGGAACUAGGCAAAAUGGUGCCGUAACUUCGGGAGAAGGCACGCUGAUAUGUAGGUGAAGCGAUUUACUCGUGGAGCUGAAAUCAGUCGAAGAUACCAGCUGGCUGCAACUGUUUAUUAAAAACACAGCACUGUGCAAACACGAAAGUGGACGUAUACGGUGUGACGCCUGCCCGGUGCCGGAAGGUUAAUUGAUGGGGUUAUCCGUAAGGAGAAGCUCUUGAUCGAAGCCCCGGUAAACGGCGGCCGUAACUAUAACGGUCCUAAGGUAGCGAAAUUCCUUGUCGGGUAAGUUCCGACCUGCACGAAUGGCGUAAUGAUGGCCAGGCUGUCUCCACCCGAGACUCAGUGAAAUUGAACUCGCUGUGAAGAUGCAGUGUACCCGCGGCAAGACGGAAAGACCCCGUGAACCUUUACUAUAGCUUGACACUGAACACUGGUCCUUGAUGUGUAGGAUAGGUGGGAGGCUUUGAAGCGCGGACGCCAGUUCGUGUGGAGCCAUCCUUGAAAUACCACCCUUUAAUGGCUGGUGUUCUAACGUGGGCCCGUAAUCCGGGUUGCGGACAGUGUCUGGUGGGUAGUUUGACUGGGGCGGUCUCCUCCUAAAGAGUAACGGAGGAGCACGAAGGUUAGCUAAUCCUGGUCGGACAUCAGGAGGUUAGUGCAAAGGCAUAAGCUAGCUUGACUGCGAGCGUGACGGCGCGAGCAGGUGCGAAAGCAGGUCUUAGUGAUCCGGUGGUUCUGAAUGGAAGGGCCAUCGCUCAACGGAUAAAAGGUACUCCGGGGAUAACAGGCUGAUACCGCCCAAGAGUUCAUAUCGACGGCGGUGUUUGGCACCUCGAUGUCGGCUCAUCACAUCCUGGGGCUGAAGUAGGUCCCAAGGGUAUGGCUGUUCGCCAUUUAAAGUGGUACGCGAGCUGGGUUUAGAACGUCGUGAGACAGUUCGGUCCCUAUCUGCCGUGGGCGCUGGAGAAUUGAGGGGGGCUGCUCCUAGUACGAGAGGACCGGAGUGGACGCAUCACUGGUGUUCGGGUUGUCAUGCCAAUGGCACUGCCCGGUAGCUAAAUGCGGAAGAGAUAAGUGCUGAAAGCAUCUAAGCACGAAACUUGCCCCGAGAUGAGUUCUCCCUGACCCUUUAAGGGUCCUGAAGGAACGUUGAAGACGACGACGUUGAUAGGCCGGGUGUGUAAGCGCAGCGAUGCGUUGAGCUAACCGGUACUAAUGAACCGUGAGGCUUAACCUU
rnacentral:rRNA from 1 species